AGUGAAAGAGGGAGGUACGCCUAACACAUGCAAGUCGAACGGCAGCACAGUAAGAGCUUGCUCUUACGGGUGGCGAGUGGCGGACGGGUGAGGAAUACAUCGGAAUCUACUUUUUCGUGGGGGAUAACGUAGGGAAACUUACGCUAAUACCGCAUACGACCUACGGGUGAAAGCAGGGGAUCUUCGGACCUUGCGCGAUUGAAUGAGCCGAUGUCGGAUUAGCUAGUUGGCGGGGUAAAGGCCCACCAAGGCGACGAUCCGUAGCUGGUCUGAGAGGAUGAUCAGCCACACUGGAACUGAGACACGGUCCAGACUCCUACGGGAGGCAGCAGUGGGGAAUAUUGGACAAUGGGCGCAAGCCUGAUCCAGCCAUACCGCGUGGGUGAAGAAGGCCUUCGGGUUGUAAAGCCCUUUUGUUGGGAAAGAAAAGCAGCAGGUUAAUACCCCGCUGUUCUGACGGUACCCAAAGAAUAAGCACCGGCUAACUUCGUG
rnacentral:rRNA from 1 species